GACGAACGCUGGCGGCGUGCCUAAUACAUGCAAGUAGGACGCAGUUGCGAACGGGUGAGUAACGCUUAGGUAACUGCCUAUUAGAGGGGGAUAACUAUUGGAAACUAUAGCUAAUACCGCAUACUAGUAGCUGGACCUGCGUUGUAUUAGCUAGUAGGUAGGGUAAUGGCCUACCUAGGCGACGAGACAUAGCCGACCUGAGAGGGUGAUAGGACAAACUGGGACUGAGACACGGGCCAGACUCCUACGGGAGGCAGCAGUAGGGAAUCUUCGGCAAUGGGGGGAACCCUGAACGAGCAACGCCGGGUGAGUGAAGAAGGUUUUAGGAUCGGAAAGAUCUGUUGUUAAGGAAGCGGUACUUAACCAGAAAGGGACGGCUAACUACGUGCCAGCAGCCGCGGUAAUAC
rnacentral:rRNA from 1 species